AGACGGUGGCCGGGGCCUGCCCACAUGAGGGAUGGGGGAGAUCCAGGGCCAGGCGGUCGCUGCCUCCGUGGAAGCGCUGGACUCAGGAAGCAGCUGUCCUGGGCCGCAGCAGCCCAAGGGAGGAAGUGGACAGAGGUGGGGCUGGACCCAGGGCCUGCGGGUGAGUCAGCAGCUCGUGACUCUGGCCACCCGGGGGCUUCCUCUGCCGCCGACCCCGGCCCCUCCGUGUGCAGGGACCCGGGUGGCUGGGCACCCUCAGCUCGGGAGCUGGAGCCCGGCCCUGCCCAGGCCAGCCAGGGCCGCCCGCCUCCUGCAGCCGCCAGAGCACGGCGGCCUCUGCCCAGGAGCAGGGAGCCCUGGCCUCGCGCUGGCCUCCUGUGGUCCUGGGAGGCAGCAAAGGUCCUGCCUGUGUCCUCCACUGUCCCAUCCUGAAGGUGUGGCCACUUCACCCCCCUCCUCAGAGCUUGAUUCAAAGCUGAUUACAGAAGACACCUUCCUGCCCCAGAGGACCAGGGGAUUCACCUGCCUCCUGGGCGUUGGGGGCUGCGAACGCUGCUGAGUCUCCGAACGCUGCUGAGUCUCCGCUCACGGGACACGGUGCAGGGUGUGUGACCUGACCGCCACCUCCCAGGGCCCUCGGGACGGCCCGGCCACAGCAGGCAGCUCUCCCCAGCCGCGGCUCUGUUGGUGCGCAGAACUCGUCACCAUGGAGAAUGACGUAUUGAUUUGCUYAUUGACUUAAAAUAACAGCGGUGUCUGCAUCUAGAGGCGGCGCUCCAUCCCGGCCUGCACUCUGCUGUAUCAUCCUAUGGGGCACAGAGAGGUGGAGGAACUUCCUCAAGGUCACACAGCCAGGGCCGAAGCUGGGUCUCAUGGGUUCAUUCCCCGGUGUCUGUCUCCCCCACAGGAACCUGUGCCUUGCCCACACCUGGCCCUGAGCCUGAGCUGGGGCCUGCACGCGGUGCUCAGUCACUCACGCUGGUGAACUUGGGACUCUGCAGCAGCUGGUGGGAGAGUUUUCCUGUCCACCCUGAAGCUCUUUUGUUUUUUGGUGCCAGGGAUUGAGCUCAGGACUCUCGACCACUGAGCCGCAUCCCCAGCCCUGUUUUGUGUUUUAUUUAGAGACAGGGUCUCACCGAGUUGCUUAGCACCUCCCUGUUGCUGAGGCUGGCUUUGACCUCUCAAUCCUCCUGCCUCAGCCUCCCUAGCCGCUGGGAUGACAGGUGUGCGCCCCRGCCCCCGGCCCAGGCAGCUCUUUCCGUGCAGCAGGGAGAAGAGCCCCGGGUGCUCUGACCCACYGCCUUCCCCCUUCCUCCAUCCCCCUUCCUCCAUCAUCCAGCGCAGGGCCAGGGGCCCAGCGUCCCCAGGGGCCCAUCCUGGCCUGGCACCCGGGCCCCACCCGAGGUUCGGCUGCUGAACUUCACUGGGGCUGCCGCAGCUCUGGGGCAGCUGAACUGAGUGGCUGAGGAGAGACCCCCGAAGCUGAAGGUUCACCGCUGCCUUCACAGGGUGGGGGGCAGCCAGAGCCCAGGCUGCUGGCUUUGAAGGAGCAGGGCACCUCCUUCUCCAGCGGGUGCUGGGAGAACCCAGGGGCUCUCCACUGAGCCACUUCCCAGCCCUUGAUUUUCUAUUUGAGACGGGGUCUCCCUAAAUUGCUGAGGCUGGCCUCAAACUUGCAAUCCUUCUGCCUCAGCCUCCAGAGUGGCUGGGAUGACAGGUGGGUGCCACCAUCUCCAACUUGAGUUUUCUUUUAAUUGACAAAUGAUAGUUGUAUAUAUUUCUGGUAGACAACAGAUGAAUAGAUUUUUAAAAACGUGCUCCAUACACACAAUGGGAUAUUAUUCGGCCAUAAAGAAGAAUGAAAUUCUGACAUAUGCAGGUAAAGGCAGGGGACAGAGAACAUGCUGGUGAAAUAGGCCAACCUCAAAAAGCCAAAGACCGAAUGUUCCCCCUGAUGUGCAGACGGUAACCCRUAAUGAGGGGGCGGGAGAAUAGAAGUUCACUGGAUCAGGCACAGGGGAAUGAGGGGAGGAGGGGAAGGAAACAGGAAGGCAGUCAAGUGAACCGGACGUCACUUUCCUCGUUCAUACAGGAACCCGGCCACGUUGCUCCACAUCCCCUUCRACCACAAGACGGGGAGUCAGAUCCGUGUGCGGGACAUGCCCAAUGCUCUCCUUCAUGCAUAACUGACAAGAACAAAUGGCAUGUCAAGRGCUUUGUAAUGUUUUGAACAACUAAUAAUAAAAAAAUUUAAAACAGGAACA
ensembl:lncRNA